UUGAGGUUUUAUUCUAGCUAAAAACUUUAAUUAACAUUUAUUUUUUAUGCAAGUAUUAGCGUUUUUAUUCUUAAAUGGAUUUUAUGCAGUUAUUAAUAUUAUAAAUUUAAUUACUUAAGAUUUAGUGAAAUGUUUUAGUUUUAACAAAAUUUGUGCCAGCAGUUGCGGUUAUACAAAUAAUGCGAUUAAAGGCUUUUAGAUAAUAGUUAAUAUGUUUAUUAAAUGGUAAAUUAAAAUUUAUCAAGUGAAAUUUAAAUUUUAAUGAAAAAUCUAACUAAUUAUAUGAGGCUAUUAAAUUUUUAAUUAAACUAGGAUUAGAUACCCUAUUAUUUUAAAUGUAAAUUUUAUUUCUAGGUUAUUAUUAGUUAAUUUCUUUAAAACAAAAGAUUUUGGCGGUAUUUUAGUCUUUUCAGAGGAACCUGUCCCGUAAUUGAUAGUCCACAAUAAAUAUGGCUUUUUCUAUAAAUUUGUAUAUCGUCGUUUUAGAUUAUUUUAUAAGAGGUUCAAUGGUCAAGGUUCUUAAUUAAGAAGAAAGUCAGAUCAAGAUGCAGUUUAUGGGAAAGUGGAGAUGGGUUACAAUAAAUUUAUUUAAAUGGUUAGUUUAUGAAAAUAUUACUAUUAAAGUGGAUUUGAGCGUAAUUUUUUUUUAUUAUUGAUAAUGAUUUAGCUCUAAAAUAUGCACAUAUCGCCCGUCGCUUUCAUAAAAUUGAAAUAAGUCGUAACAAAGUAGGUGUACUGGAAAGUGUCCCUAGAAAGAU
rnacentral:ncRNA from 1 species